rnacentral:tRNA from 1 species
GCCGAGAUAGCUCAGUUGGUAGAGCAAUGGACUGAAAAUCCAUGUGUCCGGGGUUCAAGUCCCCGUCUUGGCA